rnacentral:misc_RNA from 1 species
CCAAUAGCGUAUAUUAAAGUUGUUGCAGUUAAAAAGCUCGUAGUUGAAUUUCGGGAUUGACACAUCGGUCGUGCCUUAAGGGGUAUGAACUGGUGUAGUCAAUUUCUCACCUUCUGGAGAACCACGAUGCCCUUAAUUGGGUGUCACGGGGAACCAGGACCUUUACUUUGAAAAAAUGAGAGUGUUUAAAGCAGGCAUUUUGCUUGAAUACAUUAGCAUGGAAUAAUAAAAUAGGACGGCAUGAUUCUAUUUUGUUGGUUUCUAAGAUAACCGUAAUGAUUAAUAGGGAUAGUUGGGGGCAUUAGUAUUAAAUUGUCAGAGGUGAAAUUCUUGGAUUUAUUGAAGACUAACUACUGCGAAAGCAUUUGCCAAGGAUGUUUUCAUUAAUCAAGAACGAAAGUUAGGGGAUCGAAGACGAUCAGAUACCGUCGUAGUCUUAACCAUAAACUAUGCCGACUAGGAAUCAGACGAUGUUAAUUUUUUAAUGACUCGUUUGGCACCUUACG